CCUACUGGAGGCAGCAGUGGGGAAUAUUGGGCAAUGGAGGAAACUCUGACCCAGCAACGCCGCGUGAAUGAUGAAGGUCUUCGGAUUGUAAAGUUCUUUUCUAAGGGAAGAAGAAAGUGACGGUACCUUAGGAAUAAGCCUCGGCUAACUACGUGCCAGCAGCCGCGGUAAUACGUAGGAGGCAAGCGUUAUCCGGAAUGACUGGGCGUAAAGGGUGCGUAGGCGGUAUGUCAAGUCUGAUGUUAAAGCCCGGGGCUCAACUCCGGUUCGGCAUUGGAUACUGGCAAACUAGAAUGUGGUAGAGGUAAAGGGAAUUCCUGGUGUAGCGGUGAAAUGCGUAGAUAUCAGGAGGAACAUCGGUGGCGAAAGCGCUUUACUGGACCAUUAUUGACGCUGAGGAACGAAAGCCAGGGGAGCAAAUGGGAUUAGAUACCCUUGUAGUC
rnacentral:rRNA from 1 species